rnacentral:rRNA from 1 species
AACGAACGCUGGCGGCAGGCCUAACACAUGCAAGUCGAGCGAGGACUUCGGUUCUAGCGGCGGACGGGUGAGUAACGCGUGGGAAUGUGCCCUUCUCUAUGGAAUAGCCCUGGGAAACUGGGAGUAAUACCGUAUACGCCCUAUUGGGGAAAGAUUUAUCGGAGAAGGAUCAGCCCGCGUUGGAUUAGGUAGUUGGUGGGGUAAUGGCCUACCAAGCCGACGAUCCAUAGCUGGUUUGAGAGGAUGAUCAGCCACACUGGGACUGAGACACGGCCCAGACUCCUACGGGAGGCAGCAGUGGGGAAUCUUAGACAAUGGGGGCAACCCUGAUCGAGCCAUGCCGCGUGAGUGAUGAAGGCCUUAGGGUUGUAAAGCUCUUUCAGCUGGGAAGAUAAUGACGGUACCAGCAGAAGAAGCCCCGGCUAACUCCGUG